rnacentral:rRNA from 1 species
UACGGAGGGUGCAAGCGUUAUCCGGAUUCACUGGGUUUAAAGGGUGCGUAGGCGGGCAGGUAAGUCAGUGGUGAAAUCUCCGGGCUUGACCCGGAAACUGCCGUUGAUACUAUCUGUCUUGAAUAUCGUGGAGGUAAGCGGAAUAUGUCAUGUAGCGGUGAAAUGCUUAGAUAUGACAUAGAACACCCAUUGCGAAGGCAGCUUACUACACGAUCAUUGACGCUGAGGCACGAAAGCGUGGGGAGCAAACAGG